UUGGGACUUUAUCUCCGGUUGCAUGCCCUUUUUUUCAGUUAGGUGUACUCGGUAAACGAAUCCCAUAAAUCAAAAUCAUCACCCCCAUCCUUUUUUCACCUUUUAAUUGAGGCAAAAAGGGUAAACGGGUAGAUAAAAGACAUUAUAACAGAGAGAUCGAUGUAUGGAUUCUAGUGGAUUGAUCUUUUUGAAGGUGUCUUACAUAA
rnacentral:snoRNA from 1 species